UAGAACAACCGCUCUCAACUGGUGCCAUGUGCCCUGGCACAGUUGAAGGGAGUCACAGACUGGAAGAAAUUCUUAUAAGAUAAUUGCACGGAAUAGCUUUUUCAGAACACUGAUGUCAGACCUAUCAGGUUAGGGAUAUAAGUCCUGAUGUGUUUUAUCUUCAGGCAACAAAUGAGGGGUAAAAAUCCUCAACACAAAGACGAUUCAAGACAACCUAAAAUAACGAGAGAGAGAGAGAGAGAGAGAGAGAGA